UCCCCAGUGGCGCAACAGGUUAGCGCGCCGUACUUAUAAUGCGGAGGUUGUGAGUUCGAUCCUCACCUGGGGAA
rnacentral:tRNA from 1 species